rnacentral:sRNA from 1 species
AGGCCACGGAUUCCGUCCGCUGGUUGUCCGAUGUGAUCAUG